GACGAACGCUGGCGGCGUGCUUAACACAUGCAAGUCGAACGAUGAUCAGGAGCUUGCUCCUGUGAUUAGUGGCGAACGGGUGAGUAACACGUGAGUAACCUGCCCCUGACUCUGGGAUAAGCGUUGGAAACGACGUCUAAUGCUGGAUAUGAUCACUGGCCGCAUGGGCUGGGGGUGGAAAGAUUUUUUGGUUGGGGAUGGACUCGCGGCCUAUCAGCUUGUUGGUGAGGUAAUGGCUCACCAAGGCGACGACGGGUAGCCGGCCUGAGAGGGUGACCGGCCACACUGGGACUGAGACACGGCCCAGACUCCUACGGGAGGCAGCAGUGGGGAAUAUUGCACAAUGGGCGAAAGCCUGAUGCAGCAACGCCGCGUGAGGGAUGACGGCCUUCGGGUUGUAAACCUCUUUUAGUAGGGAAGAAGCGAAAGUGACGGUACCUGCAGAAAAAGCACCGGCUAACUACGUG
rnacentral:rRNA from 1 species